GGGAGGAAUGUUCCCCUCCACCAAGGAUGGCUGGAAGAUGAGACUAGAGACAUGGGGAAUGUGAUCAAGCAGACUGCACCUGUGAAACAGCAUAGUCUAGGCACAUAGCACAGUGCCGAAUCUACUGGCAAUCCGGUGGAAAUGAGAAGAUGCGUAUUGAUCAUUGUAACAGGCCAGAUCCUAGAUCUGUUCGGUCAUCUGCUACAGAGAUUAGUACACUGCAGAUGUGUAAGAGGACAAAGAUACAUGAAGAUAAUGAUCUAAAAUUAAAGUUUAUAAAAAUAAGACAGUUGCAAUGGUACCUGCAUUGUAGUUUUAGUACAGUUUAAUGGGCAUAUGCCAAUGAGCACUGUGCC